GGUUGACCUCGGAUCAGGUAGGGAUACCCGCUGAACUUAAGCAUAUCAAUAAGCGGAGGAAAAGAAACCAACAGGGAUUACCUCAGUAACGGCGAGUGAAGCGGU
rnacentral:rRNA from 1 species